rnacentral:rRNA from 1 species
GAUGAACGCUGGCGGCGUGCCUAAUACAUGCAAGUCGAGCGAACGGACGAGAAGCUUGCUUCUCUGAUGUUAGCGGCGGACGGGUGAGUAACACGUGGAUAACCUACCUAUAAGACUGGGAUAACUUCGGGAAACCGGAGCUAAUACCGGAUAAUAUUUUGAACCGCAUGGUUCAAAAGUGAAAGACGGUCUUGCUGUCACUUAUAGAUGGAUCCGCGCUGCAUUAGCUAGUUGGUAAGGUAACGGCUUACCAAGGCAACGAUGCAUAGCCGACCUGAGCGGGUGAUCGGCCACACGGGAACUGGAACACGGUCCAGGCUCCUACGGGAGGCAGCAGUAGGGAAUCUUCCGCAAUGGGCGAAAGCCUGACGGAGCAACGGCGCGUGAGUGAUGAAGGUCUUCGGAUCGUAAAACUCUGUUAUUAGGGAAGAACAUAUGUGUAAGUAACUGUGCACAUCUUGACGGUACCUAAUCAGAAAGCCACGGCUAACUACGUG